rnacentral:rRNA from 1 species
AUACGUAGGGGGCGAGCGUUGUCCGGAAUGAUUGGGCGUAAAGGGCGCGUAGGCGGCCCGGUAAGUCUGGAGUGAAAGUCCUGUUUUUAAGCUGGGAAUUGCUUUGGAUACUGUCGGGCUUGAGUGCAGGAGAGGUAAGUGGAAUUCCCAGUGUAGCGGUGAAAUGCGUAGAGAUUGGGAGGAACACCAGUGGCGAAGGCGACUUACUGGACUGUAACUGACGCUGAGGCGCGAAAGUGUGGGGAGCAAACAGGAUUAGAUACCCUGGUAGUCCACACUGUAAACGAUGAAUGCUAGGUGUAAGAGGUAUCGACCCCUUUUGUGCCGGAGUCAACACAAUAAGCAUUCCGCCUGGGGAGUACGGCCGCAAGGUUGAAACUCAAAUGAAUUGGCGGGG